rnacentral:rRNA from 1 species
AAUCAACGUUGGCGGCGCGCUUAACACAUGCAAGUCGAACGAGAAAGUGGAGCAAUCCAUGAGUAAAGUGGCGUACGGGUGAGUAACACGUGGGUAUCCAUUCUUUGGUGGGGAAUAACUUUGGGAAACCGAAGCUAAUACCGCAUAAGUCCGAGAGGAGAAAGGUGAAAAUCGCCGAAGAGGGAGCCCGCGGCUGAUUAGCUAGUUGGUGAGGUAACGGCCCACCAAGGCGAAGAUCGGUAGCCGGCCUGAGAGGGCACACGGCCACACUGGCACUGAGACACGGGCCAGACUCCUACGGGAGGCAGCAGUGGGGAAUCUUGCACAAUGGGGGAAACCCUGAUGCAGCGACGCCGCGUGAACGAUGAAGCCCUUCGGGUGUAAAGUUCUUUCGG